rnacentral:rRNA from 1 species
GACGAACGCGGGCGGCGUGCUUAACACAUGCAAGUCGAACGGAAAGGCCCUGCUUGUGUGGUGUGCUCGAGUGGCGAACGGGUGAGUAACACGUGAGUAACCUGCCCUUGACUUUGGGAUAACUUUAGGAAACUGGGGCUAAUACCUGAUAGGAGCUCCUGCUUCAUGGUGGGGGUUGGAAAGUUUCGGCGGUUGGGGAUGGACGCACGGCUUAUCAGCUUGUCGGUGGGGUAGUGGCGUACCAAGGCUUUGACGGGUAUCCGGCCUGAGAGGGUGACCGGCCAGAUUGGGACUGAGAUACGGCCCAGACUACUAGGGGAGGCAGCAGUGGGGAAUAUUGCAGAAUGGGCGGAAGCCUGAUGCAGCAACGCCGCGUGCGGGAUGACGGCCUUCGGGUUGUAAACCGCUUUCGCCUGUGACGAAGCGUGAGUGACGGUAAUGGGUAAAGAAGCUCCGGCUAACUACGUG